UACGUAGGGGGCAAGCGUUGUCCGGAUUUAUUGGGCGUAAAGAGCGUGUAGGCGGCCAAGCAGGUCCGCUGUGAAAACUCGAGGCUCAACCUCGAGACGUCGGUGGAAACCGUUUGGCUAGAGUCCGGAAGAGGAGAGUGGAAUUCCCGGUGUAGCGGUGAAAUGCGCAGAUAUCGGGAAGAACACCCGUGGCGAAGGCGGCUUUCUGGCCUGUUCUUGACGCUGAGGCGCGAAAGCCAGGGGAGCAAACGGG
rnacentral:rRNA from 1 species